UAACGGCGAGUGAAGCGGCAACAGCUCAAAUUUGAAAUCUGGUCCCCAGGGCCCGAGUUGUAAUUUGCAGAGGAUGCUUUUGGUGAGGUGCCUUCCGAGUUCCCUGGAACGGGACGCCAUAGAGGGUGAGAGCCCCGUCUGGUUGGAUACCGAGCCUCUGUAAAGCUCCUUCGACGAGUCGAGUAGUUUGGGAAUGCUGCUCUAAAUGGGAGGUAUAUGUCUUCUAAAGCUAAAUAUUGGCCAGAGACCGAUAGCGCACAAGUAGAGUGAUCGAAAGAUGAAAAGCACUUUGAAAAGAGGGUUAAAUAGUACGUGAAAUUGUUGAAAGGGAAGCACUUAUGACCAGACUUGGCCCCGGUGAAUCAUCCAGCGGUCCCCGCUGGUGCACUUUGCCGGGGUUCAGGCCAGCAUCAGUUCGCUCCGGGGGAUAAAGGCUUUGGGAAUGUGGCUCCCUCGGGAGUGUUAUAGCCCAUUGCGUAAUACCUUGUGGCGGGCUGAGGUUCGCGCUUUAUGCAAGGAUGCUGGCAUAAUGGUCAUCAGUGACCCGUCUUGAAACACGGACCAAGGAGUCGUCUUCGUAUGCGAGUGUUCGGGUGUUAAACCCCUACGCGUAAUGAAAGUGAACGCAGGUGAGAGCCCUCCAGGGCGCAUCAUCGACCGAUCCUGAUGUUCUCGGAUGGAUUUGAGUAAGAGCAUACGGGGCCGGACCCGAAAGAAGGUGAACUAUGCCUGUAUAGGGUGAAGCCAGAGGAAACUCUGGUGGAGGCUCGCAGCGGUUCUGACGUGCAAAUCGAUCGUCAAAUAUGGGCAUGGGGGCGAAAGACUA
rnacentral:rRNA from 1 species